UGGGGGAUAUUGCACAAUGGGCGAAAGCCUGAUGCAGCGACGCCGCGUGGGGGAUGAAGGCUUUCGGGUUGUAAACCUCUUUCGCUAUCGAACAAGGCCCGCUUAGGGUGGGUUGAGGGUAGGUGGAGAAGAAGCGCCGGCUAACUACGUGCCAGCAGCCGCGGUAAUACGUAGGGCGCGAGCGUUGGCCGGCAUUAUUGGGCGUAAAGGGCUUGUAGGCGGCUUGUUGCGCCUGCUGUGAAAACGCGGGGCUUAACUUCGCGCGUGCAGUGGGUACGGGCAGGCUUGAGUGUGGUAGGGGUGACUGGAAUUCCAGGUGUAGCGGUGGAAUGCGCAGAUAUCUGGAGGAACACCGAUGGCGAAGGCAGGUCACUGGGCCAUUACUGACGCUGAGGAGCGAAAGCAUGGGUAGCGAACAGG
rnacentral:rRNA from 1 species